rnacentral:rRNA from 1 species
GAUGAACGCUGGCGGCGUGCCUAAUACAUGCAAGUCGAGCGAACGGACGAGAAGCUUGCUUCUCUGAUGUUAGCGGCGGACGGGUGAGUAACACGUGGAUAACCUACCUAUAAGACUGGGAUAACUUCGGGAAACCGGAGCUAAUACCGGAUAAUAUUUUGAACCGCAUGGUUCAAAAGUGAAAGACGGUCUUGCUGUCACUUAUAGAUGGAUCCGCGCUGCAUUAGCUAGUUGGUAAGGUAACGGCUUACCAAGGCAACGAUGCAUAGCCGACCUGAGAGAGUGAGAUCGGACACUGGAACUGAGACACGGUCCAGACUCCUACGGGAGGCAGCAGUAGGGAAUCUUCCGCAAAGGGCGAAAGCCUGACGGAGCAACGCCGCGUGAGUGAUGAAGGUCUUCGGAUCGUAAAACUCUGUUAUUAGGGAAGAACAUAUGUGUAAGUAACUGUGCACAUCUUGACGGUACCUAAUCAGAAAGCCACGGCUAACUACGUG